UGACAUGAGUGUCAUCUGGUAAUUGUAUUCAUGUUGACAUGAGCUCCAUCUGUUAAUUGUAUGCAUGUUGACAUGAGUGUCGAUCUGUUAAUUGUAUGCAUGUUAACAUGACUUAAUUGUUAAAUGCAUGUAUUUUAAUAUGAGUUCCAUCUAUUAUCUGCAUUCAUGUAAAUAUUUGAGUGUCAACUGUAUGCAUGUCUAGUAUACUCAAAUGUAAAAGUACCACACACUGUGAUCCUGGAGACAUGCAUAACACUUCCACUUCUCAUGAUACAAUUACAGGAGAACAGCACAGAUAGCUUUAUUGUACAAUUGUUGCAUAUCUGGCCACCCAGAUAAAGAAUAUUCUUUUCAUCUUUUGGGAAUGCCUGUUCAUGCAUACAUGAUCUAAGUUGACAACAUGGAACAUGCCUGGCUACAAAGCCAACACUAUUUCAAAUGCACAUUCCUACAAACAAUUCACAUCCAUUUAAAAUGUUGAAACUUAUCUGAAAGUUUCUAUGGCUGUUCAUCUAA